UACGUAGGGUGCGAGCGUUGUCCGGAAUUAUUGGGCGUAAAGAGCUCGUAGGCGGUUUGUCGCGUCUGCUGUGAAAUCUGGAGGCUCAACCUCCAGCCUGCAGUGGGUACGGGCAGACUAGAGUGCGGUAGGGGAGAAUGGAAUUCCUGGUGUAGCGGUGGAAUGCGCAGAUAUCAGGAGGAACACCGAUGGCGAAGGCAGUUCUCUGGGCCGUAACUGACGCUGAGGAGCGAAAGCGUGGGGAGCGAACAGG
rnacentral:rRNA from 1 species